ensembl:misc_RNA 7SK 7SK RNA
GAAUGUGAGGGCAUUCUGGCUGCGACCUCUGCCACCCCAUUGAUUGCUAGGAGUGAUUUGGCUGAUCUGACUGGCUAGGUGGGUUUCCCCUUCCUCCCUCACUGCUCCAUGUGCGUCCCUCCCAAAGCUGCACGUUGGGUCAAAAAGGAGGACCAUCCCGCUAAAAGAGGACCGGUCUUUGGUCAAGGGUAUAUGAGUUACUAUGCUCCUUUUCUGGAACCUGCAAACAAGCUCUCAAGGUUACUAAAAUGUUGACUUUUAGGGGAUAAAAGGGAGGGGGUGGAAUUUAAUGUUUUCAGUUUGCCAAACAAACUAAUUCUAUUUGUUUUUCUUACUGG